rnacentral:misc_RNA from 1 species
AUGCGAUAAGUAGUGUGAAUUGCAGAAUUCCGUGAAUCAUCGAAUCUUUGAACGCACAUUGCGCCCCCUGGUAUUCCGGGGGGCAUGCCUGUCCGAGCGUCAUUGCAACCCUCAAGCGCGGCUUGUGUGAUGGGCCCUGUCCUCGCGGACAGGCCUGAAAGGCAGUGGCGGUGUCCCGACGGGUGCCUGAGCGAAUGGGCUAUCAUUGUCCGCUCCAGAGGCCCCGACCGGCGCCGGUCGAUCUGAUUGAAUCUAUUCCGGUUGACCUCGGAUCAGGUAGGAGUACCCGCUGAACUUAA